UUUGCUGGAACGCGCCCCUGGCGCACCCAGAAACCCUUUGUGAACUUAUACCUUACUGUUGCCUCGGCGCAGGCCGUCCCCUGAUGGGGUCCCUCUGGAGACAGAGGAGCAGCCGGCCGGUGGCCAAAUUAACUCUGUUUUUACACUGAAACUCUGAGUACAAAACAUAAAUGAAUCAAAACUUUCAACAACGGAUCUCUUGGUUCUGGCAUCGAUGAAGAACGCAGCGAAAUGCGAUAAGUAAUGUGAAUUGCAGAAUUCAGUGAAUCAUCGAAUCUUUGAACGCACAUUGCGCCCUCUGGUAUUCCGGAGGGCAUGCCUGUUCGAGCGUCAUUUCAACCCUCAAGCCUGGCUUGGUGUUGGGGCACUGCUCUCUGACGAGAGCAGGCCCUGAAAUAUAGUGGCGAGCUCGCCAGGACUCCGAGCGUAGUAGUUAAACCCUCGCUUUGGAAGGCCUGGCGGUGCCCUGCCGUUAAACCCCAACUUCUGAAAAUUUGACCUCGGAUCAGGUAGGAAUACCCGCUGAAC
rnacentral:rRNA from 1 species